UGUAGGAUGGGGUAGAAGGGAGAGUGCUCACUUUAAUUCAGAACACACUGGGUGGCUGUUGUGGGGUGCUCUCCUCCCGGCAUGAAAGCCACCAUCUACACCAGGGCAGCAGUGAUCACUUGUAAGCAGCCCUUGGAUUUAGGCCUGCUGUCUGUCAACAGCCCCUCAUAGAAAGAGGGACAUCUUUGAUCCCUACCUGAGAUUACAGUUACUCCUCCCCAAACCUCCCAGACAAACCACAAGUAAUGGUGCCUUAAUUGCAUAUGGCCUUGUGGCCUCAGAGGCAUAGCAAAGUGUGGAAGGCUAAUGAAGAGGGCACUUAGCUAUACAGCCUCAGGGAAGUUGUUGUGCAGGCUGGGGUGAGGUUUGGGGUUUGUUUUGUUUUGAUUUUGUUUUUUGGGUUGUUUUGUUUGUUUGGUGCAGCUGCUCUGGGCUCACCCAGGCUCCUGUAAGUAACCUCUCACUCAUGCUCAGGAAGUACACCGAAUAUAUCCACUGGUUCUCCUGGCUGAACCUUGGCGGGAAUCAGCUUUGUUCUGUGGUUGGUGACCUAUUUUGGAGCAGGUGCUUAUGUCUGCUGCCCCUCCCCCACCCAGAAAAGCUCACAGUUUUUGAGCUCUGCAAAAACAAAGCUUGGCAAUUGCCUCAUGCUAAGCCGACUCUUCUCUAAACCAUCGGCAUCCUCACUCGAGGUAGCUAAAUUUCUGGGAACAGCACGUACCCUGCAGUGUUCCCGGUUCCCCUGGACCAUGGGCACACCCCUCCUUCCGAGCCUUUGUGCCUUUGUAAUGCUCCAGAGAAGCUCAGGAAAACAGUGGGCAACGUUCUUGGAAGGGCGCCCUUCUAUGUGUCCUGAGGGCUUCGGAAGGGAGCACUGUAAGGAGGAGGCAGCUGGACACAGGAGGCUCUCGAGGAGGCUGAGGAGGCUUCCAUCCACCACCCACGAGUGAGAAGGGGGGCAUAUGUUUGGAGCAAGCAGUAACAUGCAUCCCAGGUGGAAAGAGAGGCUCUGUAAGGCCAUGCACCGUGGUUCAGCCCUUAGUGACUCCAGCACCCUGCCUGUAUCUUCCCUGUGCCGCCUACAUCCUGGCCACAAUCCCUGGUGACAGAAGAGGAAGGAAAUGAAGCCAGCACAAACAGCUGAGUUGGCUGUGACUAUCACUGCUGCCAGGCUGAGGACCAUGCUGAAGCCCCUGGAGAGUACCCUGGCAGCUAGAACUUAGCAGGACCAGAAGAUUCAGCAGCCAUGUGUAUGGCAGUGGAGGCCAGGCCCCCUAGGGAACCUUUGGAGUUGGGCACCGCUGGAAUGUCCGCCUUCUGCGGAGAAAUCUGAAUUCUGGGAAAAGGAGAUGAGCUCAUUCUGAUAAGCGGCACUUAUCGUUGCAGUUUCCCCUUCUGGCCACUAGAUGGCCGCCCCGACCAGGAACCAGCACUUCAGAGAACAGGUAGGGCGCAGGUGCUGGGAAUUGAGAUUUGUGAAUUGCGGCAAUUUUAGAAAAAGGACCUAGUUUCACUUCGCCGCACUCACCCAGCAGAGCUGUUCCUGUCCAAGAAUCCAGUCCAUGAGGCCGAUGUCUCAGCUGAUCUUCUGUAGACGUCAGAAUCCGGAAGAAGUAGGCUCUAACGCCAGUGAAGGAAUGGUCUUGUUAAUGAGAUCAAGAGCAAGCAGGCAGAGAGAGCAAGCGUCCUUCUUCCAUGUCUUUUAUAUUGGCUGCCAACGGAAGAUUCUGGGAACUUUCCCUGUGUAGCAGACCUACCUGGACUCACGUGAACACAGCAUGGUCCUACCCGAAGCUCAAGCUGAAGGCCUUUCUACAAAUGUGGCCCCUGCAUCUGUGAGUUCAAGCAUGGACAUCCACAGCUUGCAGAAAUUAUGUGGUUGGGUCUGUACUGAAUAUUUAAGACAUAUUUGCCUUCUUACUGUUUCCCAAACGUCACAGAAUAGUAGGUAUUUACACUGUUCCGUGCAGUACAUGUAAUCAAGCGAUGGUUCCCAACAGGUGAGAGAGCAGGGUGUGGGUGUGCAAGUCUGUAUCAGCACUGGGCAGGUGAGGCAGGGGGAUAGGUAUUGUGAGACAGUUUAGGCCACAUAGUAAGACUCUGUUCCAACAGAACAACAGCAGCAGCAACGACAAAACCAAGCAACGCAAACAACAAAGAGAGGCAAGAUUUUUAGUGUUGGCCUCAGUUCUGGGAGCAAUCCUGGGGGAUGGCUGCAUUUUGUUGUGGUGUUUGUUUGUUUGUUGUUGUUGCUGUAUCUCAAGACAGGGUUUCUCUGUGUAGCCCUGGCUGUCCUGGAACUUGCUUUGUAGACCAGGCUAGUCUGGAGUUCACAGAGUUCCUCUGGAGCUCACACAGAUCUUCUGUCUCUGCCUCUUGAGGGACUUAGGUGGGCUCCGUCUCAAUGAGGACACUUAUCAUCUCUCAUACUGAGCUUUUCCUCUGAGCUUCAUUUAAGUUCAUUUGCGUGUGUACCCUGUAUGUUCACACCAUGGCGUGUAUGAACAAAAAGAUCAGAGGACAACUUGCCAGAGUCAUUUCUCUCUGUCAUGCUGGUCCCAAGAAUUGAAUUCAGGUGGUGGCAGAUGAGACAUCUCACUGGUUCAGUCUUUCUUUUGUUUUCAUAUUUUUAAUUUAAAAGAUCUUAUCCUUUUAAAAAGUUAAGAUCAGGUUUAGUUCCCUGAAUAUCUUCUUAAAGAAUGUCUAUUCUAUCUCCUUUUUGAAAUAGGGUUUCACGUAGCUCAGGCUAGCACUGAGUUUCUUAUGGAGCCCAUGAUGGCUUUGAACUUCUGAUUCUUCUGCCUCACAAGUGCUGGGAUUUAUCAGGUACCACCAUGUCCAGAUGAAUUUCCAAUGUAACUAAGUAUCCUGAAUUUUGUCUAGUAAUCUCAUAAGUGAGAUUAGCAGCUGCCUGCUAGAGGCAGAGAAAAAAGGGAAACAUAAAAAGACAGAGAGAAGAGAGAGAGAAAAGGGAAGAGGCCAGCUGGGAACACGA
rnacentral:sRNA from 1 species